rnacentral:rRNA from 1 species
AUUGAACGCUGGCGGCAGGCCUAACACAUGCAAGUCGGACGGUAGCACAGAGGAGCUUGCUCCUCGGGUGACGAGUGGCGGACGGGUGAGUAAUGUCUGGGGAUCUGCCCGAUAGAGGGGGAUAACCACUGGAAACGGUGGCUAAUACCGCAUAACGUCGCAAGACCAAAGGGGGGGACCUUCGGGCCUCUCACUAUCGGAUGAACCCAGAUGGGAUUAGCUAGUAGGCGGGGUAACGGCCCACCUAGGCGAUGAUCCCUAGAUGGUCUGAGAGGAUGACCAGCCACACUGGAACUGAGACGCGCUCCAGACUCCUACGGGAGGCAGCAGUGGGGAAUAUUGCACAAUGGGCGCAAGCCUGAUGCAGCCAUGCCGCGUGUAUGAAGAAGGCCUUCGGGUUGUAAAGUACAUUCAGCGGGGAGGAAGGCGAUGUGGUUAAUAACCGCAUUGAUUGACGUUACCCGCAGAAGAAGCACCGGCUAACUCCGUGCCAGCCGCCGCCGUAA